UACGAACGCAUGAACCAGCCAUUCAUUUGGAAACUUUUAGCCAUUUGUAAUCUAAACAAGAGAGCUAAUGGUGGUAAUUGAAGCUAAACUUUAGCACUUCAAUUCAUAUAGCUAAAGUUUAGCAGGAAGCUAAAGUUUAUCCCGUGAGAUUGAAACGGGGCCUAAAUUAAAAAUAAACAAAAGGCAUAGUAGUAGAAGAAGCAUUGAUGCACGCGUACAGGAGAAGUUCGCUGGCGGGAGCAUUUCACGAAAGCAUCAAUGAAUCAGAGAUCGGUCGCCAGACGGCAGCAUCUGCGUGGUGGUCCGGACGCUACUGACAGCUCCUCCCGCACGUCCACGUAAUCGGCUGGCCAGCUGCGGACGCCCACGCUACGGCGGAUGUGGGCCGUGGACGACCGCGGACGGGAUCGCGGUCCUCCCGCCUCGACCUUUCUCUUCGCUUCGGCUUCGCACACCGCCGUGCAGAUGUGGAGCUCAACCGCCGAUGGCGACCAAGUUGGACCACGAUCCACCCACUCGCAAAAGAUUUUUAUUACUCUUGGUGUACCUGUGUUCUUUUUUCUUGCGAGAGAAUACAAUCUCGGCAGUGAAUUUUAGCGUGCCCGGAUUUUAUCUGUCCGGCAAGGGGGACAGUGGUCGGACUCGGACGACGAAGUACGAAGCUGAGUCCAACCGGACAGUAAUAACGCUCCACUGGCCACUGCCGGCCCGCCACCGACCGAUCAACUCCGAGAUGUGGUGGCCGGCAGGCGGCAGCCACAUCAAGGCUCCAGCGGAACGGCACGGCACGGCUCGGCUCGACGGCGACCGGUCCAGCCCGUACCGCCGCUACGAAUCUGUGGACGGUGGAGCGAAAGGGAAGAAGAUAGAUAGAAAGCCAGCCGGCGGCGGAUAGCCGUCGCCGUCAAUCAGCGGGCGGCGGCGGACCCAGGCAGCUUGCGGGACGCCAAAACCGCUGGCGGGCGCGGCCUUAUCCUCCCUUGCUUCGGGCUCAGCAGGAGAGGAGGACGUGCGGAUAUCAAAUGGAUGGGUGGGACUAUACGGCUCCUGGUGAAGGCGAAGCUUCACCCCACCCUCCGACUGGAAUUAAAGAAAAAUAUCGCGGGGCAGUGUCAACUCUCUGCUCCCAUUCCAUCAUCGUUGGAUUCAUUCAUGGGCCGACGCAAAGCUUGGAUUGCAAUCAAGCUCAGCCGUUGAGUAGUCAGAGAAACGAUAAACAAUUGGAGAUUAUGCCUUCGAGAUGGGGCGCACGGCAGCUGUUCAACGCUGCCAUUGACAUGAGAUCCGGCGCAAUUCCUCAAGCUCCAGAUCACACGCAUGGCACAGUCCGCGUGUAGAUGAGGUCGAGGAGGAGGAUGCCAGGAAGGGAAGUGAUGUUUCCGUUUGGCAGCAAAUGGACGACGCAGGCUGCAAAUUAAAGGUGACAGUGACACUGACCUGUGUAGAGCGAGUGGGCCUUUGCCCUUUGCCGCUCUCAUAAACCACAAAACCAUGGGUGCUGUCCAAUUGUUAACGGCCAAAUGGUCGGAUUAUUAUUAUUAUUAUUAUUAUUUUUUGCUGUGCCCGUGAUCUCAUCCGUGUGCAACAGUCGUCGGCCGCACAUCACAUGACAGCGUCUCCGGGGUGGGAUGGCAGAGUUUUUACAUUACAAUUAUGUUAUCUUGCGGAUUAUUGCAGCCGUGGUUUAGACUUUUUUU